GCUCGUUCAGUCGUCGUUGCGUGUUGUAGGUGGCCUGGUCUACUGAGCUCCGUUUGGACUGCUCCUGCUCCAACUACUACUGCGGCCGCUGCUGCUGCUGCGGCUGCUGCAUCUGCAUCUGCAACCUGCAACACUCACACCACGGCAACAGAAAUAGACGCGUCGCGUUCAGUCCCCGUCCUACGGCCUAACGUCAUGUCGCGUAGUGUUCUGCCGAGUAAAGCUAGCAGACUGUAAGGUGACUGAACCGAUCCUUAACCCAUCACCUUCCUCUCCCACUCGAGUGCCGUGGAUGUGUGUCAAUUAAAAAGUCUCGUCUCAGUGAGUCGCGUGUUUAAUUUGCGGCACGUUCCCCACACACACUUACUAUCAAUUUAAUUAAAACGCCACAGACAGACCCAUAACUUCCGUAAAACCAACCAUCAUAACCUCCGAACCGGGCCCAAAACUAAACACAAUAUUGCGGCCAAGACCCAACUAACCGGCCAGAUCAGAAAGAGAUGAAAGCAUUAAUAAGGAAAGAGAUAGAGAGCGUCCAAAACCUAGCCCCGAAAAUCGAUAAACUGGCCAUCCCCCUCGUUAGCCCAUCGUUGCUGAGCUCACCGACUUUGCGGAAACGCUCACAUUUUGCCAUCGGAGAUCGAGGAGCAGCCAGGAGGUCCAGGGCAAAGGCAAAGGCAAUGGCAACUGCCACGGCAAAGGCAGAUGCUGCGUCAAUGGCAACGAGAGGAUCCAGGACAGCAGACACAUCGAUGAUUGCACAUGGCUUAAAGACCCAACGGAGCCAGUUACUUGGCUACUCCCACUGCCACUCCCAUUCCGCCCCCGCAUCAUUUCCUCGCAUUAAAAAUACAACGUCGGCAGAUACAUCAAUUGAAAAUGAGGCAAGGAAAGGCAUCGCAUCGCAUGGCAUCCCAACGGCAGGGCGAGUCGCAUCUGCGCCGGACAGCAAAGAACAGGAAUCGCAAAUCGAGAGAAGGGCUGAGAUAGGGACGACUGGGGAUAUGGGGCUAAGGGAUGGUUACUCCUGCUUCCCGGACAGGUUGCUUGCCCAGUGGCGGCUGUAGAUGUGGGGCCAGUGGGCCAGUGUUAUACUGGCCAUGACAGCAAGUAAACUGCAGCUGAGCGGGAUUUGAUACCACGAAUGCAUCCGUUGCUAAAGCCGACUCUUAAGUUUUCAAUUUGCUAGAUAAACCUAGGACUGUAUAAGAUACAUAGCGAUAGAGAUAGCAGGUAUCUGAUAAAUUGUGGAACUACGCUUAUUAUUAUUACUAGCAGCAACGUGAUAGAGAAGAAGUAAAUAUUUAUGAAAAAGGUGCAGAAAAUACGUAAGCAUGCUUGGGCUUCUUCAUUUGGUUUGCAGAACGUGUAAUUUAAGUGAGCCAGGGUACAAAAUGAUCUGCCAUAAAUCGCAAAAGUUCCCCAUAACUCCUCAGUUACGUCAUUUAACAAAUUUCACAAUUUCUGGGCAAUCAUGAGCCAUUUUCCUUAGCCCAUCCGUCGCUGCGAUAACUCAAUUCGUGGCGCAAAUUUGCUGAGACUGCAGAUUGUCUGCAGAGUGCUCCAUCUAUGGCAGCAUCUGUCAGCUUGGCAGCCGGGGACAGCCUGGCCAUAUGUCUUGGCCAUACAUCACGUAUAUGUGUAUGUACGGGUGUGCUGGCCACACCCUUGCGAAAGUAAACAGAAAGCGCUAUUUUCAUUUGCUUUAUCGCUCAGAGAGAUUGGAGAAGAGAAUAAGGUCCAAUCACUCGAGCCCUAAUACGCUUAGGCUGCUCAUAAUCACGCUUCAGCUAUUUGAGAUGGAUUGGUGGAAGGAAGGCCGACGGCUAUGGGGAAACCUACCAGAUAGUUUGCCCCAUUGUUCCUAUCGCAUUAUUACAUUUCUAUUUGCUUUGGGGCUAAGACUGCAAGGGGUUCAUCCGCUGGUCUCUGCCACAUUUCCCACUGGCUUAUUUAUAAGCGCUGUUUGUCUUAGCGUCCCGCCAAACUAAUAACUUUUCCGUUGUCCCUCCAUUGAGCGAUUUCCCUUUCUCCUCAUCUCCUUCCCUUUUCAUUUGUCUUUCUCCGUUGCACUUGACGUCUGGUCAGCCGCAGCAGGUCCCUGCACUUGAAAAACAUUUCCUGAGAGCUUUAGGGGGGCAUUUUAAUUAUUUUAGUAAUAAUAUUGAUAGCAUAAAAAAGAUUUGACAAUAAUAUUUAGUUAAGGCCUGCAGGCCGUAUUUAUUGAAGCCCUUCAAAGCUGCCUUUCCAACCACUAAACUUGUGCCAGUGUGCACAAGGAUAUCCACUUCCCUCUGCCUCGUCGGCAACUCCUUUUGAGAUACUUCCUGGCCUUUAUCGGGCGGCCACUUCCGCUCCACGUACACAAAUCACACGUCCCUUGGAGUCCGGCACUGUCUUCCGGCUAUUUAAAUUGACAUCCUGUUGGAGGUGACUGCUUCCUGGCUUCCUGCCGCCACCUAGCCCCCAAUUCAAUUUGCAAAAUCAUUAACACAUUUAGUCAAUAAGCCCUGGUCAGUGCUCUUGAGACGUUAGUGCCCUCUUUGGGGAUUAUUAUUCAUUUUUAUGUAAUUAUCUGCUUAGACCAGAGCCAAAGUAACCCCAGAGACAACUAGCAAGUAAGGAGGCUUCUUCUUUGUCCCUGCUACGGCUAUAUGAACAUCAACACGAGGGGUCUGUGAUUUUACGCACACAAAAUUAUCUUGAACAGGCAUUGGAUAAAAGCAUCCUGUUGUCCAGGUCCUGGUAAUAGCCAUGAAAUAUGGCCACAAUGUGUGAGCUCCUGUAGUUACACUUCGGGGCAGUUACUUCAAGUUCAGUAGGGACUUGGCGGAGAAUGAGUUUAGUUAACUGGGAAAGUACAGUGGAGCUACAGCGGAAAGGUUUUUAUUCUUUACACAAAAGUACAACGGAUCAGAUUUUAAAAUCUUAAGAACAGAUCAAGGCUACAUUCUUAAAAAAAAAAUAGACAUUACCACGUAGGUACUAUUUUAAGCUGCAUUUUCUCGAAGUCCAGCUCAUCCUAGCUGGCCAAAACACGUAUCAGGACGAGGUCCUUUUUAGUGCCACUGUUCGGUUUCAUCAUCAGGAGCAGCUGCAGCAUAAAAAAGAGGCGAACCAUUUAAGUUUAUGUGCCCAGUGUGUUAGUGUGUGUGCCUACGCUUCUCUCGAGCCUUAUUGUGUGUGCGUGUGUUAGUUUCAUAAUGUAACCGGAUGUGCCAACACAAUGCUCGCACAUCCGCUUGCCAGACAACAGGACAACAGCUGUCACACACACACACACACACAGAAGUUAAAUGCCGCUGCGCUUUUGUUUGCACAUCUUAAGGGAUCGAAAAGGAGCAGAGACAUUCCCAUUCCCAUGCCCAUUCCCUAUCCCGUUCCUAUACCCUCCGCCUGUGUCCUAGGCCAGCACUUGACAGCAAUUGGCGCAUUAUAAGAAGCAGCAGAGCAUAUAAUAGGGGCAUUUCAUAACAAGGAGGCGUGAGUCCACACAAGCAAACCCAACCAAAGCCCGAGCUACAGGCUCUGACAUAAUUAUUAACUGCAUGGACGUAAGUAAAUAUGAGGCGACCAAAUGGGCAGAGAUAACGAGGCCAUUGUAUGUUUACGCUAGUGUGAGUGCCUCUGCGUUAGUGUUGGUGCUGAGUGGGGAAAAGUGGGAAAAGGAAAAUGGAAAAGCGAACCGGGAACCGGGAACAGGGCAAAGAGAGCGACGAGCGGAAAAGCCCAAACAUUUAGCAGACAUGUCACGUGCCGGGCUCAUCAUUUAUGUUUUAGUUUUGGGUGUGCCUGACAAAACUUAAUUGAUUAAAAAUAAUAUUCCAGCUGCUUUUGCCUUGCGGCGGAGAAGCCAAGACUACAUGAAGCGCAUUUUAAUGAGCCGCAUAAUUAUUAAUGAAGCCGUAAGAGAAAAGCAAUUGUUUGUUAAGGUGCGAGAGUUUGUGUUAAGUGUAAUCUUUUAAGAGCUUUUGCGAAGCCGGAACUCAAACUUUGAAUAUACCCACUACAUUAAUUUAGCAAUUCAUUUUUUCACCUACUAGUAAACACAUUUUCUCACAAUUCGAAUCCGCCAGAUGUAACGCUCGCUUAAGAAUUUUAAAUUGAUAAACAGAAAACUUACCUUUUCUCCCUACACAAAAAAACCCUAACAUCAUCAACGUAUUUUUUAGCCUUUCGUUUUUCCCAAUUAUAUGUUGCUUGUUACUUAUCAGCUACAAUUUUUAAUUUACUCCAAUUUUUUGCGCUUCCGCCCUGUUGCUAAUUAUAAACUUUUUAAGUGGCUUAUUGGGACGUCUGCGGUUGCCUUGGACACGUCGCGUAUCCGCAGUGGCCCACUGCUGGCGGCAAGUCAUCAAGUGCUCUUUAACUUUUUACUUCGCCAAGAUGUUGCCGCCGAGUCCUUUUCACCCGAGGCUGGGGAAAAUGUAUUAUUUAAGGCGAGUAGUUCCCGCUUUGAGUGUGCACACAGUGCCGUUUAUGUGCAUUGAUAAUAAGUAGGCCACCCGUUUUUUAUGCUCUUUAGGAUGGCAUAAAAGUUUGAUUAAUGUUGGCCCAGCCCGGGAAUUCCUACGAAUUUUCUCCGCUUAUGCAUAUGCCUGUACGGGUCGCCGUAAAAUGGCAUUAAAACCAUAAAAACACCAGUCGCCACCAGCGACUUUUAACAGCCAACUCAUAAAUAUAAAAUCAUACAUAAAUGCGCAACGAAAAUCUCAUCACUUCCCCAGUGUGAGAGAAAAUAUUGAAUUUCCCGAAGUUGACCUUGCAUUUUCAGCGGACUUUGUUGAUGUGAUCGAUCACAAUUCGAUUUUUAGUAGACAUUAAGCUGCAUCGCGUGCCACGCCCACUGCCCGUAGGGGAAAACAUUUCUUACCUUUACCAGGAGUAAAAAAUGAUAGAAAAUCAGAGGGAAAUUCGGCACGAAAGGCAAACAUGAAGGGAGCAUGAGCAUGAACAGAACAUCUGCCAAUGGGGUGCGUCAACGAAAAUUUAUGAUGAUAGAUGGGGAAAACAUUUUCCAUAUGCAACAAGCUGCCAAAUUGUUUCAGAGUCAGCCAACUUCGGGAUAUAAAUGCUCCUAGCAAAAGCUCCUUAAACGUGUAUCAAUAAAUGAAUUGACUUUGCCAUAAAAUAUUUCAUGCUCCAUGUUCCGUUUUUCAUCACCCGGAAUUGCAUCACCAAAAGAAAUGGCAGUGGGUUGUAAAUAUUUAAUAUGCUUUUUGCAUGUAGCCCAUGAUAAAGUGCGUGGCGUUGGGCAGAUUAAUCAUAUCCCUGGGGAUCCAGGAGCUGAAACCUAGCACACCUAGUUGCAGCUGCUCUGGCUCUGGCUAUGGCAGCACCGAAAAAACCCAUUGUUCUUCCUUCCUCUUUCAUUUUGUUGUUUCUGCACAUUAUCAGCAUAAAUUCAAAUAAAAACGAGAGUAGCUGCUGUCUGUCGUCUGUGCAGCUAAAUAAAUGAUGUUAUAACAGAGCGAGAGAAGAGCAGACUGACAGGACACACAGGUCCUGGUUGCUGCCACCCAACCGUAUACAUUCCGCCCUCCCCAGAUAACCAGCUUUUUUGUUCGGUUCAACUUUGGCCAUUUUUCUUGCGCCCCAAAAGUUGACAACAGGCAAAGCGAAGGACUAAGCCAGGACACGUAUUCCAAGGGGCAGCAGCUGUCAGCCGAGAGCCAGGACAACAUGAUGGAGCUCAUCAACAUCAGUCGGCGGGAUAUAUGUGCACGUAUACAUGCCAUGCCCAAGAUGGGGGCCAACUGCCGAUGGUCUUAGGCAAAUGGAGCAACAAAAUGGCUGCCGAAGGAUAAAGACGCGUGCCUGGCCAAAUCCCGAGGCGUGAUUGAUUAAUAUUAUUCUCGGCUAAUCUAACUUAAAUGGGCCGCAGCACAGGAGGCGGCGAAUAUUACCUAUUCAGCAACCUCCUCGUCCUUUCCGAAAUGUGCGUGAGUGCCUCUCGUUGACUACGCUCCAUACAUAAUAAACACGCCGCGUGUUAAGUGCAGGCUAAGAGGAAAAAAAAAAAGCAAUUCCAAAAAUAUAUUUGCGAGUAUUUGGAGGAGCAUUUCAUCUCGUAUUUAUAUGCACGAAAGGUAGACACUGGGGUAACCUUGUUAUGCGGAAAUUUGUUAUGCAAAAAGCAAGGCUGCCGAGUAGAAGGCUCAAGCUUUUCUUUGUCAGCAGAAAGACACAAUAAACGUUGAAGUGGCGCAUUAGUUAUGUCCUAGCAGCAACAGAAAUCUUUUUUAGUUGCUUAUGAUUUUUGCCACAAUAAAAUUAAUUAAUCAAAUGAAGGUUGGACAAAUGGCCGAUGACAGCAUUUGUCCCGAGGCAGUGAGCUCCACUGAUUGCGCACUUCAAUCAAUAAAUGAAGCUCGUUAUUAAUUAAUGCAAAAAUGAUGGCACAAAGGCCACAACAGUUAAGGCAACUUUUCUGAUGCGAAUUGAACAACUGUCAGCAACAUGUUGCUGCUGUCCUGCCGCCGACUUUCCCCACCCGGAAAACCCGGAAAACUACCGCCUUUCCGCCUUGGAGGCCGGCGUUUGACAGUUGGCUCAUUUAUUUCUGCAAUUUUCCACCUGGCCAGCAACAACGGCAGCAGUUGAGUUGUUGACUUAAUUAAAAUAAUAAAUGAUUUUCGUCUUCUAUCCAAGGGUCAGCCAAAUUAAUUAAACUUUAACGGGGUGCAUAAUUGAUUACUAUAAAAGCUGAGGAAUGGUCUGAAUAAAUGCAUGGAAUGCCCAAUUCCGAGGACGUCCAAUUAAAAAUGAUUGAUUGAGUAAGAUUGAGCAAAAUAAUGAAAGACGCCUGACAACAAAUAAUAACAAUUUUAGAUCACUAUGCAUUCACUAGAAAAUACUAUGGUACGAGAUCACAGAUCAUACGCAGUUUACUACCUUCCUCAUUUUGUUUACCAUAAUUUCGAUUGCCAAAUAUUUUCUAUGAGCCCUUGGCCAAGGAAAUGAAAUUGCUUUGCAGCCCUAUCAGGUUGCCAAGAAUUUUUCAAUUAUUUUUGCGCCCUGCCUCAAAGGAGGCGUAUCUGCCAGAGCCAAGUUAUGGUUCGUCUUCUUCGAUCCUGCCCCGCUGCCCAGCCCCUUUUGGCCAUAAUUAUUGUUUGCACUUGCCGGAUGCAAAGUUUUUCAUUAGUGCGCAGCAAACAAAAAGGAGGGAAUAAUAAUAAAGAAAUGAAAAUCGCACAAAGUUGAAAAUCGCUGGUGAAAAGGGGCGAGUUGUCCGACUGCGGGACGCGUUUGCAAACGUGCCGGUGGCAUGCUUCAUUGGCUUGUGCAUUAUUUGUGCAACCUGGGUUGCAUCGUAAAAAAUGCAGGAGCAGCAGGCUGCCGCUGCAGCUGGAUCCUUUUGGCUGAGCACACGGGGCAGAUGGCAGAGGGCAAAGGGCACGGAUGACGAUGAUGGGGAUGAGGAAGGGGUGGGCGAGGAGUGGGGCUUAUGGGCGUGCCGACACGGACAUGCGAGAACAAGCCGCAGUAUUUAUGGUCCUGUGGCUGCCGGGGACAGCGACGAGUAAUGUGCAUCCACCUGCCCCCUUUGCUGCUCCUUCUCCCAGCUCCUGCUCCUGCUGGGCGUCGUCUGGCCAUAAAACACAAUCAAGCGUAAAAAUACAGGGCGGGCACUUAACCCGGCCAACACCAUCACCAACACCGACACCACCAAAGAGAGAGCCUCGACAUCUACGACACGUCAACGGUUUUUGCCUUUUAUGUGCAGGGUACUCGAAAAGGUCGCAGGGUAUAUUAUAUUCCCGAAUAUGUAUGGGUCCAACUACAGGUAACGACAUAAAAGCAAACCAGCCAGAAGGCAACUAAACAUGCUAAGCAGGUUUUUAGGAUAUGCAGGAACAUCUUAUUUGCUGACCACUAUUCUGCCAUGAGAACAUGAGUUUAUUAUCAAACCAUAUAUAAACCACUGAUAUGUAAUAUGUCUAGUAAAUAUAUAUAAGAAAUCUAAGAGGCAUCACAUAAUAAAGUAGUUUUAUUGCAGAGUACCUUUGUGCUGGCUACCCGAAGGUGUUGUAUUAUUUGUGGUCCAGUGGCUGCUGCUCCUUGGUAUUUAAAUAUUUUAAAAUGUUUGCUUAGCGCUCGGUGGCAGUCGAGCUGCUUUUGUCGCUUAUUUACUUAUGCCCGUGUUGCCAUUGCGUAUUAAAAUUGCAUGAUUUUAAUUGCACAGCUUGCAGGAGCGAUGGCAACAUCAUUUGAGCGUUUCUGCAACGACUGCAUUUAAUGUUGCGCAUACGCAACGUAGUCGCUGCACAUAAUGUUUGCGUUUGUAAUUGAAAGGGCGGAAGAGAUAGUAAUAUUCACGACCACGCCCACUAUCGCCCACCCGCCUGCCCUUUUCGCACGCAUAUCAGGCAGUAAAUCCAUAGUUCCCCAUGCCCCAUUUUCUGGUUAAAUAUUAUUUUUGCCAUUAGCCGCAGUGCACAGUGAGCUCGCUUCCAUUCCCGCUCCAUUACAUCCGCAGCCCCAUCCGCAUCCGCAUCCGCGUCCUUUCAUUCGGCGUGCUCAUUUCGCCAGUUGUUUAUUUAUUUGUUUUCCCUGAAUGCAGCUGCUGUGCCGACUUUGUUGUUUUUGCGGUGCAGUUUCUUAUUUCAUGGAAUGAAAAGCUAAACAGCAAAACGCAUUGUCUGGCACGUAAUGAUCGAAAUCGGGGGAAUGAGGAUGUUUAUGUCCUUAAAGUCCUUACACAACAGUAAACUCGAGCGCAAGUGAGACGCAAAACUUUUCUGUUUGAUUUCACGAACAGGAAUUGAUUGUCUUCCAUAGGGUACGACCAUAGACUCAACAUACCAUAUAGGAACACUCACUAUUUAAUUUCCGCCUAUAAUUAACAUUUUAAAAUACCAUUUAACAUUUUCCAAUUAGUUAGGCACUCUAAGCCACACUUAAUUAUGCGGAUAAUUGAACCUAUGAUGGCUGGCUUUUUUUGACUGUUUGCAAAACAUUAGUUUGCGAAAUGCACUCCACACUGGCUGCUUAUUUAAUAAGCAAUUUAAUGAUAUUUAUUUUUAUUUUAUCGAAAAAGGCGUACGCUUGAAGCGCCGAAAAUUCCCACACAUUGCAUUUAAUAAAAUAACAAACAAGAUGCACUAACAGCACAAACAUCAAAACAGCAAGCAAAUAAACGGGGAAAAUAUAGAAAGUAGAGGAAAGCGCGCUAAUGGCAACUUUAAUGCUUCGGCUACGAGUAUAUAUGUACAAACAUAUAUACAUUUAUUUUUGGGCUUGGGGAGAUCUGUGGGCAUAAGGAUGCGCAUAAUGUGCAAAGUUUGCGACGCAAACUAAUUUCAAAGUAAUUACGUAGCACAAAAGUGUUGAUAUUAGACUGCAGGAAAGGGGGCAGAGCCAGCUGCAAAAACAACAUGACAAAAUGUCGUCAGCAGACUACAAAAAGCCCCAAAAGCCAAAAAAAUACAACUUGCCAGCCAAACAGCUGCACAAAUGUGAUGAGUUUACACCAGCAUCAGCCCCCUCUCCACCGCCCCAACAAUCGAGUCACGAAAGCGCCACGUCAGCGCGGCAUCAUCAAGUCCUUUACCGACUUGCUGGCGCUCUCAACAAGCCCCAAAAAUGCAAUAAAAUAGGGAAAACUUCUUAGGCAGAAGCGCCGUCAAAGCUUUUGACUUUAAUACGCGGUCUGGGAGAAAUUAAACUUGGUAUCUGAGUAUCUGGCUUCAUUGGGACUCCCCAGGCGAUAUCCUAAGUAGCCUCAUUUUCCCCCCAGCCGAGCAGUUUUCUUUUUAUUUGUGUAAUAUUUUACAAUUUCAAAAAGUAAACGAAAAUGGCGAAAUAUGAUGGCCGUUUGGGGAGCAAGCGGGCAAUGCACUCAAAGAAAUUAUACCUUAAUUGAGUUUUAUUGGCUACUUGUGUUAUUGGUUUUUUUGUGUUAUUAAUAACAAAUAAUUAAUCUGUUUAAAUGGCAAGCUGGUAGAAGAUUGUCAAUGCCGAUUUUCUAUUUAACUUAUAAAUUGUUUUAAAGUGUAUAUAAAGCUGGAGGCGCUGUAGGCAACUGGACGAGUUUUCCCAAAAGGCGCCAACAGGAAGACGAAACUCAGUAGCAAAACACACAGAUACACACACUCAAUACACACUCGGCGGAAACGGAAGCUGGAAAAACAAGGAACGCCGGGCGACAAAAACAAAGGCAAAAGCCGGGUAGCAGAAAAGCUUCAGCUGCAAAACAAAAGCAUGAGCUCGGGGAAAUUUCACUAGAAAGCGGCUAGAAACUAGAAAAAUAAUUGCAACAGAAAUAAGCCAAAAGAAGCAAAAAUGAACGCGUUUGAAAUUUCACUUCUAGACCUAGACAUUCACUUAUAAAUCGUAGACACAAAUCUAAAUACCAUGCGAAAAAAUAAAUAAUGUGUAUUUUUUUAAUCCAUAAUUCAUUUUUAGGAUAAUAUGUAAUUUCAAAUUUAUUACAAGACAGCUACAGAUAAAUUGCAAAAACCUUUUAAAA